rnacentral:rRNA from 1 species
GACGAACGCUGGCGGCGUGCUUAACACAUGCAAGUCGAACGGAAAGGCCCUGCUUUUGUGGGGUGCUCGAGUGGCGAACGGGUGAGUAACACGUGAGUAACCUGCCCUUGACUUUGGGAUAACUUCAGGAAACUGGGGCUAAUACCGGAUAGGAGCUCCUGCUGCAUGGUGGGGGUUGGAAAGUUUCGGCGGUUGGGGAUGGACUCGCGGCUUAUCAGCUUGUUGGUGGGGUAGUGGCUUACCAAGGCUUUGACGGGUAGCCGGCCUGAGAGGGUGACCGGCCACGUUGGGACUGAGAUACGGCCCAGACUCCUACGGGAGGCAGCAGUGGGGAAUAUUGCACAAUGGGCGGAAGCCUGAUGCAGCAACGCCGCGUGCGGGAUGACGGCCUUCGGGUUGUAAACCGCUUUCGCCUGUGACGAAGCGUGAGUGACGGUAAUGGGUAAAGAAGCACCGGCUAACUACGUG